AGAUAACUUGCUUUAUAUAGGUUUUUUCGGGUUCAAAAGCUAAUGUACUUAACCAACGUAAAAGUUCUUUAUGAAGCUAGAGGAGAAAGUGCAUGCCAAAGAGGAAGAAAUGCAUCAGCUCCAAGCAAGAACCUAGGAAAAGAAAGAAGCAGAGAUCAAACAGCUACGGAGAAAUCUCAAUUUCAAAGAAACUCCCAUGCCUGCUUUCUACAGUGAACCUAGUUGCCGCUCAGUAAAAAACAAGGAGUUAGCAAGUAAAACUAAAUCCAGUAAAUAACAAAGCAGGCCUUCGACUGUAGGGGCUAGAGCUACUAGUACAAUAGAGAACACUAUUCGUUAUUCAAGGGCAGAAGUUUAUAACAGAUGUUUCACUAAUGAACGUCUAAAUAUGGCCGAUUCACCACAAGUUUCAGAAGUAACCGUUUAUUCUUUAGCAGAGUUAUUAGACAGCAGCGUGCCGUCUUCAGCUCCAACAAGCAAAACAUCCAAGCAAACCCAAUCAAAUUGAACGGUAACUCAAAAGAAAGCGCAAGAGAAAAGGCUGGUCGCAAAUUCUCCAAGACUAAGAACAUCAGAUUGUAUCAAGAGGAGCAAGGACUUUAAAGCUAAAUACAAAACAAAGGUUGUUGCGCGAAGAACAGGAAACAAUGCAAUGAGAAAGGAUAUUAGAAGUCUGGACUUGAGCCAUAGUACAAGAGUGGGUCGUUUAGCUGUUGGUGUUGCUUCCUAGACACCGUCAUGCUAUUUAGUUGUUGCUGUUGGUGUGAAUCUUGUUAUAUUCUAGCAUAGCAAAGAUGAUUGGUCUCGUAUUUGAGACGAUUUACUUAGUGAGUAGGUUAGCAUUUCUGUUAGAUAUGCUGCAUAUAAUUAUCUCUAGUUUUAGAUAGAUAAUGUCUUUAAGCCAAGUUCUUGAUAUAUACCAUAAAUGUUGUGCUAUUAAAGAUCAA